rnacentral:tRNA from 1 species
AGCUCAGUUGGUUAGAGCGGACCGCUCAUAACGGUUUGGUCGCAGGUUCGAGUCCUGCC